rnacentral:rRNA from 2 species
UACGUAGGGUGCUAGCGUUGUUCGGAAUUAUUGGGCGUAAAGCGCGCGUAGGCGGGUUUGUAAGUCGAUUGUGAAAUCCCUGGGCUUAACCUGGGAAUGGCAGUCGAAACUGCAAAUCUUGAAUACCUAAGAGGAUGGCGGAAUUCCCGGUGUAGUAGUGAAAUACGUAGAUAUCGGGAGGAACACCUGAGGCGAAGGCGGCUAUCUGGUGGUGUAUUGACGCUGAGGCGCGAAAGCGUGGGGAGCAAACAGG